rnacentral:lncRNA from 1 species
GCCCGUCGGCUUUAAUAUAUAUAGUGAAGAUAAUGAAAUUAAAGAGAUUUUGAAUGAACUUUUUUCGAAAGGUGAAUAUGACUCAACUCUUUACAAAAGUAAAUCGUUUAAUAAUGAAUGUUUUUUAAGUUGGGGCUAGUGCAGAGAUGACAGAGAAAAUGUUUAAGUGAGAAAGAUGAAGGAGAAAGGGUUGAGAGGAAUGAAGGAGGUGAGGAAGGGUUUGAGGUUUUCUUUUUUUAGUUUUGAGAAUGAAAAUUAUUAAAAUAAGACAAGUCUUUCUGAUUUGUUUCAAUUGGAGGUAAAAUAGGGAUGACAGAUAAAAUGUUGGAGUGUAAGAGAUGUAAGAGAAAUGGUUGAGAUGAAUGAGAGAUAUGGGUAAGAGUUUGUGGGUUUCUUUUUUUAUUUUUUUAAUUUUGAGAAUGAAAAUUAUUAAAAUACCCUUAACCUUAAAACUUAGAAUUCAUGAUAUAUAAGGAUAUCUUUGUCUACUGAAACCCGGUACACAUUGCUAAAUUGUA